rnacentral:lncRNA from 1 species
GUGGAGGCUAUAUACAGGGGGUACUGGUACAGAGUCAAUGUGGAGGCUAUAUACAGGGUGUACUGGUGCAGAGUCAAUGUGGAGGCUAUAUACAGGGUGUACUGGUGCAGAGUCAAUGUGGAGGCUAUAUACAGCGGGUACCGGUACAGAGUCAAUGUGGAGGCUAUAUACAGGGGGUACAGGUACAGAGUCAAUGUGGAGGCUAUAUACAGGGGGUACCGGUACAGAGUCAAUGUGGAGGCUAUAUACAGGGGGUACCGGUACUGAGUCAAUGUGGAGGCUAUAUACAGGGUGUACUGGUGCAGAGUCAAUGUGGAGGCUAUAUACAGCGGGUACUGGUACAGAGUCAAUGUGGAGGCUAUAUACAGGGGGUACAGGUACAGAGUCAAUGUGGAGGCUAUAUACAGGGGUACUGGUACAGAGUCAAUGUGGAGGCUAUAUACAGGGGGUACCGGUACAGAGUCAAUGUGGAGGCUAUAUACAGGGGGUACAGGUACAGAGUCAAUGUGGAGGCUAUAUACAGGGGUACUGGUACAGAGUCAAUGUGGAGGCUAUAUACAGGGGGUACCGGUACUGAGUCAAUGUGGAGGCUAUAUACAGGGGUACUGGUACAGAGUCAAUGUGGAGGCUAUAUACAGGGGGUACAG